rnacentral:rRNA from 1 species
UACAGAGGCCACGAGCGUUAGGCGGAAUCACUGGGCUUAAAGCGUGUGUAGGUGGAUGACUAAGUACCUUGUGAAAUCCCACGGCUCAACCGUGGAAGUGCACUCGAAACUGCAUAGCUAGAGUCCUGGAGAGGAAGGUGGAAUGCUUGGUGUAGAGGUGAAAUUCGUAGAUAUCAAGCGGAACACCGGUGGCGAAGGCGGCCUUCUGGACAGUGACUGACGCUGAGACGCGAAAAGCGUGGGGAGCAAACAGG